rnacentral:rRNA from 1 species
GCUACGGGAGGCAGCAGUGGGGAAUAUUGCGCAAUGGGGGAAACCCUGACGCAGCAACGCCGCGUGAGUGAAGAAGGCCUUCGGGUUGUAAAGAUCUUUAAUCGGGGACGAAUUUUGACGGUACUCGAAGAAUAAGCUCCGGCUAACUACGUGCCAGAAGCCGCGGUAAUACGUAGGGAGCAAGCGUUAUCCGGAUUUACUGGGUGUAAAGGGAGGGUAGGCGGGAAUGCAAGCCAGAGGUUAAAUCUGGGGGCUGAACCCGCAAACUGCUUUUGGAACUGCGUGGCUUGAGUGAAGGAGAGGCAGGCGGAAUUCCCAGUGUAGCGGUGAAAUGCGUAGAUAUUGGGAGGAACACCAGUGGCGAAGGCGGCCUACUGGACAUUAACUGACGCUGAGGCGCGAAAGCGUGGGGAGCAAACAGGAUUAGAUACCCGAGUAGUC